UGGAAAAGAUUAUGUAUUCGACUGUAUUCACGACGUGAAAUAGGGGAUUACAUUGUAUUUUAAACGAGAAAGUGAAUCAAUUAACAUAAUAGACUCCU
rnacentral:pre_miRNA from 1 species